rnacentral:rRNA from 1 species
UCACACCCGUUCCCAUACCGAACACGGAAGUUAAGCUCUCUAGCGCCGAUGGUAGUUGGGACCUUGUCCCUGUGAGAGUAGGACAUUGCC